AUCCGCGGGCUGUGAUUGGCGGAGGCCCCGACGGCGCCGGUGACGUCACAGAAGGCAGGCGUCCAUCCACCCCUCCUUGACGCGCGGGACGGCCGGCGAGCUGCACGUAGUAUUGGAGCAGAGUACGUGUUCUUCACCGCGGCGACCAUUUCACACUUAGUAGAAGAGUUCGAGUCGUCCUGUCAGCAUCAAGAUGGCUGGUGGUCACGGAGAAAAUAUCUCGAUUAUGCCUCCCAAGACAAAGAUAUUUGUCGGCAAAUUGCCACCAACAUGUAAAGAUUUUGAACUGCGGAAGCUAUUUGAGAGGUACGGAGAAGUGACAGAAUGCUCCAUUCUGGGCAACUAUGCCUUUGUUCACAUGAAGACAGAAGACCAGGCUGCCACUGCCAUCAGGAACCUCAACAACUGGGACAUGAAUGGCUUCAAGAUCAGUGUUGAGCAAUCCACUGGAGAAAAGCGUGCCGGCGGCAUGGGAGGCAUGGGGCGAGGUGGCAUGGGAGGUGGAUUCCGUGGGCGCGGUGGCCCCAUGAGAGGCCGAGGCAUGGGCCGGCCAGGCCCAUAUGACCGCCGUCCACCAAUGGGUGACCGCUAUGGCCCCCCUCCCCCUGGGCCCCCACCAGCACCACCCAUGAGGAAUGGAUAUUACGAGGACUAUGAGCGACGUGAUCGCCGUCCUCUUCCCCCAGCUGGAGCCCUGGACCGACGGCCUCCCCCCCCAAUGCCCCGGGAGCCUGCGUAUAGGGACCCCUAUGACCGCUAUGACUCUUACGACCGCAUGCCCCCUCCCCCCAUGGGCAGGCGCACCCCACCCCCCAUGGACCGCAGACCACCCCCUAUGGGAUACGACCGCAGGGACGACCCCUACGGAGACAUGUAUGGACCCAGGCCAGAGCGUGACAUGUACGGAGGUGGGCGGGACAUGUUCCCUCCACGCGGCAGGUCUCCACCGCGCCGCAGUCCUCCGCGCCGGUUCACCUGGGAGAUGGAGGGUCCUGACACUUGAUCCUCUUAAGAGGACAACAGGUUUAGGCCUUUGCUGAGACGAGCUUGGCUGCAUUAACGACGACUUGCUGUAUCUAUCACCAAGAUUUAAGAUACCAGGACACACACUUGGGUUUAUGAACUAAAUGGGCUGAGAGAGAAGCAGCCACAUGGAAUACUCAUGUCCACCACGGCAGCAGCCGGUGGGUUCUACAACAGCAAUGGAUGUGUGAUGACAGAUUUCAGUUGCUACUUCUUGGUCCAUGAGGGAAAUUCAUGAGCAAGAUGGAGUUGGAGAACACUGCUGCUGCGAGUUGGCUCUGCAAGAAUUACCGCGGGUAGUCGGGUAGUAGUGGUGGUAGUGUUUGUAGCAGCAGUAGUUAGUUAAUACUUCAUGUGUUGGGCAGUUUGGACUCCUCCUUUAAUAAGAAACUUCCUUAUACCUGCUGAAUACUUUCUCUGUUAAAGUACUUACAUAUCAAGCUUAUUACUACGUGUAUGCUUGAAUGUAUUGCUUCCAACAGUUGUCACCUUCUUACCAGUGUCACAGGACUGGUAUUUGAACACUACGAAACCAGUAUAAACAAAACCCAAUACAUUAAGGUUUGAGGGAAAAUAAUGUUUAGUACUUUCAAUUUCAAAUAAGAAUUACAGGAGGUCAUGCCUAUGUAUUGUCUGUCUUGAUUGGAUGAAGUGACACCCAACCAUGGUGCUGGAAUCCUUCACUUUACUCCAGACGUCACAUGGGGAACAAUUCAGUUGCUCGUGGCUUGCUGCAUUUUGUUUUUUUAAUAUUUUUAAUGUUUUUGCCUAUAGUGCCGGUAGGCUUUCUUGGUAGGGCCUGAUGGUGCAGGCCAGUGUUUAUAGUGGCACCAUCUUGCUUGGCUCAUUCUGCCCCCUGGAGUUCAUCUUUGAUCCUCUCUCUUAGAGAGAGAAUCUAGGGUCUGGGUUGAUAGGUAGUCUUCAGGACAGAUAUGGGUAGUCUUAGGCCACUCGAUGGUGGCUAAAAAUCCCAGCUUGUGACCCUGGGCGGGACCCGAACCCGCGUCCUCCUGGACGCAGAGCCUACAUGCCAACCACUCGGCCACCUCCUCCCCAGUAAUAUUGAUAACUUGAACAUCUGGAAACUACCAGGCAAGCUGCAAGUGACAGAUGUUCCUGCUUUGAUAUGUAAAGUGAAGUGAGGAGUUCCAGUGCUGUGAUUGGCUUCCAUCUCUGCCAAUUGAUAAAACUGUGUGGACAUGACCUUUUGUGGUUCUUAAAGGGGAACUGUGUAAGGAAAGGACAGCACUGUGUUAUGUUCCCUUUGCCAGAGCACAGGAAAAGUAUUUUUUUUUUUUUUUUUAAAAUCUGGAAGACAGAAUAACAUAAUACUUCAUGCAGAUAAUUUUAAUGGAAAUAUAGCAGAGAAGAAAGCAUCAUUUAGCUUGUAUGUCUUGCAAAAAGAAGCUGUUGUAGGCAGACCCUGGUGACUCUUUAUUCAUGCUGUCCUUUUAUUGAGCUGGUUCAAAGAUGACCAAAAACAGGCUUCCAGUGAUACGUGAUCCAUACUAAUUUAUUAAUUGAGCACAUGUAUUGAUAAUUUCAGAAUAAUUGUUGGCAUGUAACAUCCCAAUACCAGCCACUGUCCAUUAGGGAAGGGCAGCCACUGUUGUUUAUUACAUUAUUAAGAACACUGCCGUGGACACAGUUGCAGGCUACCAAAUUAGCAGCCGUGUCCUCGGGCUGACUGUAGGAAGGCUGUUUGCCAUAUCAUGUAAAUCCUCUCCUGCCAGUGUUCUGAUUGAGUAAAAUUCAUUGGCUACUCUCGUCAACUGGAUUGCGUCUUGAGAUAUUACAUGCCAACAUUUAUUCAAAAUUUAUUGACAAACAAAUCUGACGGUUAAAACGUGUUGAGUUAGUAAUAAUUAUGGAUUAGAUAUCAGUGGAGCCUUGAUUUUACUCAUCUAUUCAUCGGCUUGGGGAAGACAGUGAGGAGAAACUGAAGUUGCCAGGAUUUACCUACAGUGGGUUAGUUACGCAAACAGUACAAGCUGAGUGACACUUCUCUGAUAUGCCCUCGUAAGAAAUUUGAAUAAAAUACAAUGCUCAUGCCUCACAGCUCUUUGAGAAGCAAAGGAGAGGUAUUGUUUUUUCCAUCUACUCCAGCCAGAGGCACAGUGCUGUCCUACACUUACACAAAGUUUGUUAAGAGUCUCAUUGGCAUACACUAAGUAGUAGCAGUAGUAGGAGAGAGAAGGGAGACAUUCUGGACACCCAAGUUCCCCCUCCCCCUGCCAUAGCUUUCAUCACUCCCCCAACUGUUGAUGUAAAUAAUACAGAAAAUCUACUCAUUAACUUUUAUUUAUUAGAUUACAGAGUUGAUUUGGUUAUCUGCUCCUUGGUACAGCUCCUGAAGACUUGAGGCCACCUACUCCAGUAUUGUGUUUGCGCUACAUCUCGUAUUAGCAGUAGCUGUGAACUUGGUCCUCGUCAGCUGUCUGUGGAACACUGGACUGGGUGACACCAAUCCAGGUUGACCCCAGCAGUUGAGUCUCUUGAGUUCAUAGCUACCACUGUUACCAGACCCAGCACCAUCACAGUACUGUAGUAAGUGGUCAUUUGUCCACUUGCAUUCUUUUUGUCUCCAUGUCCAGUAGGCUGUCCAGUGUGUUGUGUAGAUUGUCCUUGGAAAGUUCCUGUAUGGGAGGAGAAAGGAGUACAGAAGCAUAUAGACAUUUUGGUAUGCUCUCUCUCUCUCUCUCUCUCUCUCUGUGUGUGUGGAUGUUGACAUAUCCCCACAGCUACAUAGUCCCCCCAGCCACAUAAAUAAGUCCCCCUCCUCUCCCUGCCUCUCAACUAUACAUAUCAGUCGCCUUUCUGCCCUUCACUGCUCUCUCCCUCACCUCUCUCUUACUACUUAAACUCAAUAAAUUCCUCUUUUCUCCCCUAAACUAAAUCUUAAUUGUUGUGGUCUAACUCUGUAUGGCUUUGCAAACUUAUCUGUUCAAGACUCAAAAAUAAAAAUGAAUGGUAAA